ensembl:lincRNA
GUUGGGCACCUUGACCUCUGAAGGUGUGUGAUUAAUGGACGCGUGGUAUUUCUCAAUGCCUCAUCCGCUCAGCACCAUCUAAUCUCCUGGAACGUGAUCAGAUGUCGGGCUCCUGCUGUUUGAAUUUAUUUCCAUUGGUUGUCUGUGUCAGCAUGGAAGCGGACGUUUGUGCAGCUUUGGUGGAGAAUAAAGGUCAUGUACAUACGUGCUUAUUUCUAAAUGAGCUGUAAUUAUAUGCACAACUCAGGACUCCAUGACUCACCUCUGCCCUCAUUAACUCCACCCCAUGAACUGCCUCUUUAUUUCAAACAUGAAGUCACUUCAACGACUUCACUUUUUAAGUCUUGGCAGAGAUUUAAUGACUUUCUUUUUUUUUCUCUCUCUCUCUCUUAAAGGAACCCAAGAGUUUGGAUGCCACACUCUCGUGAGAGCCACCAAGGACUUGGAGAGAGACACAUUGGUUCCCCAAGAGUGGGCGGGCUGCUCCACGAGAAAAGACACCAGAAACGGACUCAUCUGGGCCUAUGGAAACAAAGUACCUAUACCCUGAAGUGAACAGAAUUAAAAAUCCUCUUGAUAAACAGACCUCAGAGCGCUGGGCUGUUUGGUUUCAGAAUCUCUUGUCACCUACCCACCCUCUCCAUUUUGGGGUUUAAUGUUCAACGAGGUUAUCACAUGGAAAUCCAGCAAGCAAAUCUUAGGAGAUUUUCAGGCCAAAUUGUAAAACCCAUAAUGUUUACAUGGUCUAGAUAAAAUUUUAUUGUCUAUUUAUAUUUCAAUUUCCUAAAUGCCGAUAGCAAAACUGCCCUUAUAUAAACACAAGAAGAAAUUCCCAGCACUCAAAUACUACUUUUAUCUACCUUCCCUAUCUCGGAGCUUCUAGAAAGAUGCAUCUAGAAAGCAUCUAGAAAGAAGCAUCUAGAAAGAUGACAUCUUUUCCAACCACCAUCCUCCUGCACCUGCUCCUGUCACUGGACGUAAGUCUAAGGUUCCUCUAAAGUUAAUGAUUAAAAUAUUCGAGUGGACAUUAUUCAUCAUUUCUUGGGAGCAUUCUUGGGUCAUCCAUUAAUGUGCAGUUCUGAAACAGCAUAAGGUAGAUUCUUAAAUGGCGCAGUAUGGAUUCUGAUCUGGAGAGAAUUUCACCUAUUAUGAAUGGUUUUUAUAUGAAGAGCCACCCGUAGAUCUCCACUUUUGAACAUUUCCCCUCUUCACUGGUAGUCAAGACUGUCAAGGCCACUUCCUCUUUGAUCAGGUUGUUAUUCAACCAGAGUCUUUUUUCAAGGGAACAGCCCUUCUGGAGAAGGGUUCAGAAACCCACAGAUUCCUACCAAAAGAAAUUCCUAUAUUCUUAUCCAGCGCCUGUUUCAAAUACGUGUCUCUAAACAUAAUUCCUUUUAUCAUCCAGACUCUUCUGAUUCAUUCGAAAGAAAUUCAGAGCCAAAUCAAGGUUUUUAAGCAAAUAUUUCUAAGGAGCGCGUUGUUCAAGUUUGACCUAUUUUAGCUUCCCCAGGAGGUUAUUUCAGGUCGAUGAAUAAGGAUAUGUUCAUGAAGAGCAGAGAAUACAUUUGUUGAUUCUUAAAAGAAAACUCAGAUUUGGUGAGACUUGAAGUUUUUCUUUGGUGAUUCAUAAUCAGUUUUGCAACUUGAAAGCAGUUGAUGAAUCAUUCAGUUUACGAAUCUGCUGUCACUUCCUUAGAGAGAAGGGCUCCCUUUUCCUUAUGGUUUUCUGAAGUUUGAUUCAGUUAUCUGAAAGCUAUCAAGGUAGCCUCAUGUCUACUACCUCGCAGAGAAAGAGGAUGUUAUAUGCCAACAUCAACUUUAUUGCCAGGUAAGAGGCUGGGGACUAGCGGUGUAAAUUGUGUGAGAUGUCACUGCUCUGGGUUUCUGGGUCCCUGCAGAAUGGAAGUUGCAUCGGAAAAAAAACCAAAGAAACAAACAGACGCUAUAGAAAUACCAGUCCUGGUUUUCUAAGUUCUACACAGGAAGUCUCUUUUCAGCCAUCUUGUUUCUUCUUUCCAGUGCAGUAAACUUGAGCCACCUGGACCACUGCUGGGCCACAUGACCUUUCACUAGGAUGGAAUGGCAGCUUUAACUGUAAAAACAAGACACAAUACCUUCAGCUAGUUACGACAUAAAUGUGGCAUAUUUAUACUGAGGAGGCCUUUGGGAAGAGAAAAGUGGCUGCUUUCGGGCCUAGAGAGAUCCUAUACUGCGUUUCUGGAUUCCUCCUUUUGAUCAGGAAAUCCGAUCAAUAUCCUUAUAGGGAAAGGUUCAAGUGGGUCACAGGUGGGGCGCUGUACUUAAAGUGUCUGCUUCUUAGUCCAUAUUAGGCAACAGGAACUGCCUGAAAGUCAUUUAUUUUUCAUUCUGUGUCAUUCAACCAUAAAUGACUCAGUUCUGAUAUUAUUUACCAAGUUCCACUGGACUCCUAGGAGAGGCAACCGAGGACACAUGUAAUGCUAAUCUCAUACACUCAGCAGGGAAGGCAAAUGAGUGAGUAGUAAAAGGGAUGCUUUUUCCUUAAGAUCAUAAUUAGUUUAAUAGCUGACUCACAUCCCAGGGACUUGACCGAGUCCUCAAAAUGCUUCAUUUCUAAAAGAAUACAACUAAAUCUAAGUUAUUUUUCUGUCAAAUGGUCAAGCUUAUUAAAGCUUAAGGGGGAUCCUUAAAAGUCAUACUUGAAACCUUACGGGAUUCGAGAAUCUAAUCUAGUAACGGUCACAAAGGUGAAAAUAAUUAUGAAACAUUAAUCAAAUAUUCAGCCUGUCAGAAGACCUUAUGACAACUUUAUUUAUUUAUUCAUCUAUUUAUUUAUUUAAUUUUGGUUUUUUUUCAGUGUUCCAAGAUUCAUUGUUUAUGCACCACACCCAGUGCUCCAUGCAAUACGUGCCCUUAUGAUACUACUUUAAAAAAUAGAAUUUAUUUUUACUUUAGAACAGUUUUAGGUUCGCAGUAACACUGAGUAGAAAGUACAGAGUUCCCCUGCCCCCUGUCCCCCAACACAUGCACACAGCCUCCUCCACUAUCAAAGUCCCUCACCAGAGUGGUAACUUUGUCACAAUCAAUGAACCCACACUGACACAUCAUAAUGACCCAAAGUCCAUAGUUUAAACUAGGGUUCACUCCUGACAUUGUACAUUCUAUGGGUUUUGAUGAAUGGAUAAGGACAUGUAUCUGCCAGUGUAGUAGCUUACAGGUUGGUUUCACUGCCCUAAAAACCUCUGUGCUCUGCUUAUUCAGACAUUUUAUUUUUUAGUUUCCAAUUAAGUGAUCCAAAUAUAGGUGAAAUUUCAGAAGUUUAAAAAAGUACAAGAACUCAGUGUUUAGCUUUAAAUUAAUGGUUGCUUAAAAUCAUGAAUGUUUUUUGCUUAAAGUAUACAAUAUCAAAUACUAAAUGUCAACAUUAAGAUUUCAUUAUUUCAGAACAUGUGUCUGAAAUUUACCUCUUCAGGUGCCUUGGGAAAAAAAACUGUUGGCUAAGUAAAUUAAACAGUUUAAGGGUCUGAGAAGCUUCAGCCAAGCAACACCACCAACUAUCGCCAAUCCCCUGCCACCUGGGACUUGGCUAAAAUUAAAGACUUAAACAACAAAGGACAGAAAAAGCUCUAUAAAGUCUCCAAAUAAUUAGGAAAAUAAACAACCCCUUUCUAAAUAACCCAUGAGUCUAAGAAGAAAUUACAGUGGAAAUUAGAAAAUAUUUUGAACUGAAGGAAGGUGGAGACACAUUAUAUAAAAAUUUGUGACGGGCGCCUGGGUGGCUCAGUGGGUUAAGCCUCUGCCUUCAGCUCAGGUCAU